rnacentral:rRNA from 1 species
GACGAACGCUGGCGGCGUGCUUAACACAUGCAAGUCGAACGGAAAGGCCCGGCUUUUGUGGGGUGCUCGAGUGGCGAACGGGUGAGUAACACGUGAGUAACCUGCCCUUGACUUUGGGAUAACUUCUGGAAACUGGGGCUAAUACUGGAUAGGAGCUCCUGCUGCAUGGUGGGGGUUGGAAAAGUUCGGCGGUUGGGGAUGGACUCGCGGCUUAUCAGCUUGUUGGUGGGGUAGUGGCUUACCAAGGCCUUGACGGGUAGCCGGCCUGAGAGGGUGACCGGCCACAAUGGGACUGAGAUACGGCCCAGACUCCUACGGGAGGCAGCAGUGGGGAAUAUUGCACAAUGGGCGGAAGCCUGAUGCAGCAACGCCGCGUGCGGGAUGACGGCCUUCGGGUUGUAAACCGCUUUUGCCUGUGACGAAGCGAGAGUGACGGUAAUGGGUAAAGAAGCACCGGCUAACUACGUG